rnacentral:RNase_P_RNA from 1 species
GGAGUUGGCUAGACAGUCGCUGCCCGCGUUUUGGACGCGGGGAGAGGAAAGUCCGGGCUCCAUAGGGCAAGGCGCCAGGUAACGCCUGGGAGGCGCAAGCCUACGGAAAGUGCCACAGAAAAUAUACCGCCGUGGUCUCCGGACUGCGGUAAGGGUGAAAAGGUGCGGUAAGAGCGCACCGCGCUUCCGGUAACGGAAGUGGCAGGGUAAACCCCGCCUGGAGCAAGACCAAAUAGGGGAGCAUUGGGGGUAACCCCUAACGUGUGGCCCGCACGGCUCCCGGGUAGGUCGCUCGAGACGCGCGGUGACGCGCGUCCUAGAUGAAUGACUGUCCACGACUGAACCCGGCUUAUCGGCCGACUCCCACG